rnacentral:rRNA from 1 species
UACGGAGGGUGCAAGCGUUAAUCGGAAUUACUGGGCGUAAAGCGUACGUAGGCGGCUUGUUAAGCCAGAUGUGAAAUCCCCGGGCUCAACCUGGGAAUGGCAUUUUGAACUGGCAGGCUCGAGUUCUGAAGAGGGUGGUAGAAUUUCCAGUGUAGCGGUGAAAUGCGUAGAUAUUGGAAGGAAUACCGGUGGCGAAGGCGGCCACCUGGUCAGAAACUGACGCUGAGGUACGAAAGCGUGGGGAGCGAACGGG